CCUGCCUGAGCAGUGGGUUGGACUAGAAGACCUCCAAGGUCCCUUCCAACUAUUCUAUUCUAUUCUAUUCUAUUCUAUUCUAUUUACUCUACUCUUAACCUGAUUUCAACCCCAAUUUUCAGACAGAGGAAUAUACAGAUCUGGGAAACCAUUGCUAAACAUAAAAAUGGCUGAAAACAUAGAUACCACUAAAUGUAUGGGCUGGGAGGGUUUCUAAAGACCAUCCAGUCUAACCCUUUCAAUGAUGGCACCCACUACUAAGUCAUCCUUAAAACAGGACCUCCAGCCAUUUAAACACCAUACUUGCAUCUUCUGCUAUUAUUACCCUUGAAGGCAAAGUAGGACAAUUUGCAGUGUGCAUCCCCAAACAUUUUUAAUAAAAAAUAUCUUAUUUGCAGAAAUCCUCCUGACUGUUGGGCGGGCCCCAAGUCAGCUUCCAGUCAGCUUUAUCUACCCAUCGCUGGGCAGCAUGGCAGCACCGGCUCUGUGAGUUAAGGCCUUUCCGGGGGAGGACACCGGAGGGCCAGUGAGCCAAGCGAGCCCGGCCAGCUCCCCCUCGGUGGCGUUUCUGACAGCCAGUCUCCUCAGGGAACGAAGGCGGGCCCUCUCCCACCCUUCCUGUUCUCCUGUCCCGGUCUCUGGCAGAACCCCACCAAGAGCUCUGCUCAGAACUAAGAACAAACCAUCUGAGGCAAUUUCAAAUUAAAAGCUUGUAAAUGCAUAACCUCUCCUAGAUUUUGCAAUUAAUAGGGUACGUCUGCAAUUAUCCUGACUCGGAGAAGCGGCUGCAACAUUGUCAUUAAAGGAUGUUCUGCGAAAGCACUGCUGUUCUCACAGAGAGGCUCAGGAGAGCAAACCCUCCUAGAGGGCAAUCAGUGCGCAGGUAGAAAACAACAGUCAUAAAUCACACUGUCAGCAGCGCCAGGCGGGCAGGCGGUGGAGAGAAGGGGAGCAGCCACACCGGCCGGGGAAGGCCGCUCACGGCAGGCGCAGCAUAGCAGAGCCCCACAGCUCGGGUUUUACCCAAGCUGUAAUUAAUUAAAAUUUCCUUCAAGCCAAAACUUUAUUAAACAAGGAGUUGUGCUGACAAUGAAGGAAAACACGGGGAGGCCAUUCAUCACGGCCACUUCUCCACUUCAGCUUAAGGUGAUGUAAAAUUCGCUUUUAAAUACUGAAAAGGAAGAGGCUCCAGGGGGUUCACGGGGGAAGGGGGGGCUAUCCAAGGCCUUCCCGGCCUGUGUUUCCCCCUUUCAGCCUCUCCUUUCAGGGGGGCUCAAUUCUGCCAAGUUAAUUUCUUUAUUCCACACCGUUCCACAACUGGGUGCCCAUCAGAAAUACGCACCUUGGGAGGGAAGGGAGGCCCCGCCAAGGAAAAGGGGAGAAAGGCCCGGCUGGACCCCCCUCCUGCCAAAACCUUCGGUGUCCUUCACACUGCUUAGAAAGAGCCUGGGGGGGGGGGGAUGGCCUGGCUGAGCCUUUGCUGAGCUGGUAGACUUGCAGGCACACAUUUCACAGGACGGCUGGAGGGGCGGGAACACCUGGGCCCUGGCCUGGCUGGCGGAAUGGAGCAUUUCAGGGUUCAGCCUCUGUGCAGGUUCCGCAUGAAACGGGCGGUCCUUGAGUUACGACUGUACGUGAGUCCGGCAUUAAGGUCAUAAAGUCAUGGCGGUUGUUAAGAGGCUGUGACCACAUCACCCUGCCUGAUUUUAGGACCUUUUUCCAGCAAUUGUUAAUUGGAUGUGGCGGUUGUUAAACAAACACCUUAUAAACUAUGAUUGUUGUUGGGUUUUUUCUGUUUGUUUUUUGUUUUUUGCCAGAAACCAGCAAAAGAAAAUACCAGCAAAAGAAACCAGCAAAAGACCUGGUGGAAAUCGGGGUCGCAUGGCCAUGAGAAGCUGCAAAGGCUUGUAAAUGUGGGCCCACUGCCAAGCACCCCAAAUGCAAUUGUGUGACUGCAGUGUGUGUGUGUGUGUGUGUGUGUGGCCAUCAGCACCCUGGAACUGGUUUCUAAGUGUCUCUUAGGAGGUUCAUCAUAAGCGAUCGAUCAUUAAGUGAUGACUACCAUUAUAAUUCUGGCUAUUAUUAACGCACCGGAUGUGCAGGGAUCGAUGUCCAUACAUGCACCUAAAGCUAUAAGAGGCAUAAGAAAAUACUGCAGUAGAGGAAUAAUUUGGACGUCUGGACCUACAAAUAUCUAACAGGUGAUAAUCCCAGUUGAGAUACUCUGUACAUCUGCUUGACCAAUUGGGUUAAUUUUUUAAUAUUAUUACCUCGAUCUGUUUUAGUUUCAACACAACUUUUUAGAAGUUUUGUUGAACAUCUUGUUCUUGCAUUCCCUUCACAAAUGCCCUUUUUCGCCAGACAUCUCAAGGACGGCUUAAUAAGGGAGCUCCGCAAAUGCCUCCACCCAGGGAUUAUGGGAAAGUUACAAAGAGCGGCCAAAAGAGAGGGCCUCACUGACCAAGGCUUGAAGCAAAGGAGCCAAAGUCCGAGACUGUGGAAAGGCACUGCCCAACGACCCUGGCUUUUUGUGCAGCUUCUGAAGGCUGUGAAACUGACACCAAACAGUCAAGCGUCCUGACAAAGCCCCCUCUGGAGAAGUGACCAGGGAAGGAAGCGGGAGACUUGUAGAAGCUCUUUCUGAUAGCCUGACUUACACCCGGGCGGUGAGCUCUUCAAUACGGCCUGCCUCAUGGGACCCGGCACACGGCCAUCUGGGUCUUAAAGCAGCCCACGCGUAAAGCCAACCCCGCCUCCAGGUCAGAGGGCUGUGACUGUACACACUCCCCCUUUGGAAAAAGAAGAAACCGCUAAAUGACUGCUUAUGGGUAAUAUGCACAAGCAGCCUUCACGAAUAAUGAUACAAUAUUUGAAAUAAAUGAGAACUGCUCCUAUAUGGGACUACGUAAUAAAGGCAAGGAGAGCUUGGAAGGCUGAAGUCACAGAAUAAUGAAAAAGCAGACCGCAGCUGCCUAGUCAGGUCUUGGAACAGACACGUUUAAGUACGGCACGCACUUACCAGGAAGACUUUUUCCUAGGCACAUCCAAUGAUAAUCUCAAAGAUACUGUUUGUGGCCCACAACUGCAGCUUCCUUGCCGAGCCCUCCAUCCUCCCUGCAACACAUCUGAACUGGAUUCCUUUUCUGUAGCAGCAGCAUCAAUACCGUAGAAGAGCUUCCCUCUAGAGAUUAAGUUCAAUCCCUCUUUCUUAUUUUUUUGGGAAACCAUGAAGACCAAAAUGUUUCAGACGGCCUUCUCCUGAUUUGAGGUUUGCUAUCUUAAUCUUCAAUGUUUUUACUGUUUAUUGCCAAUGUAAUCAACGCAGCACCUGCUGACUUUGCAUUGGUAUCCUUUGGUUUCCUCAGUCAUCAAUCAGGUGUCGUGUCCCCCUGGCCUUUUCCAAAGCCAGCUUGAACCCGACCCAGGGGUGGGCAACUACGGCGACUUCAACUCCCAGAAUUCCUCAGCCCCCAGUGGAGUUUAUCUUGUCACAAGGCAAGAAACUGGGCUAGUAAAGCACAGAAAACUUCUUUGGGCAACUAUCUACAGAAGUUGGCUGGUCUGCAGUGCCCAGUGCACGCUAUACGUUCCCUCCCCCCCCCCGGGAAAUCCUCUUCCAUGAAUUAUUAAUGCCAGUGUCUCUCGUGGCGCCCGCCCUUCGUCCUUCAGGAGGACGGAAACGGGGGAGAGGAGGGGCAGGAGGACACCAGCAGCACGGGACCGAUCAGCAACAAACCUGAUCUAGAAGGCUCCUUAUUAUUACUCAUUUGAUUUUACGUUCAAAUUUCUGCCUAGAGAACAAACACAUUUCUGCUUCGAGGCCCGGCUACUAAAAAAACCAAACUGUUAAGCUGAUAAAAAGUUAAAAUCCCUAAUCCAACCUGAAAAGUCCUGGCUAAUCACGAAGGCCCGGUUUCCUUCCCUAGAGGCAGAAAGAGCUGGGCCAAGACCAGCCUGCGAGGAAGGGGGGCCACUCCCAGGAAUUUCCUAGCGCCACCCAUCUCGCAAGCAGGCCGUCAGUUCUACAGGAAUUUGACACUAUAUUUUGCAUUCGUUCAAGCUGGCAUUAUCAAAUAUAUUCUACCUUCUCACCUGGAGCAUGCCUAACUACACGCAUCAAUAUCAUAAACACAGAGCCGCUCUUUACAUGUAAAACUGCAAUAUGACUUCCAAAGGGGUUACAACCAGGCGAAGAGUCCAUAGGAUGUAAACUAUUAAUGUGGCCAGCAAUCCGUGGGCAUUAUUGGCCCUUAGUAUCUGGUGAGGCUCAGCUACAAAACGAAGCAUCAAUGCCUGGAAUUCAUUAAGAGUGUUACAUGUUUAAUUUUUCCUGCCCUCCAGCUCCACUGUCUCAUAAAAAAAAUGCUUUGACGUUCCCCAGUAAGAAUUAAAGAAAUAUUGUAAUUGAAAUAUCAUUAAUAAUGAAUGUGUUUCUUCUCUAUGGCAAUACAUCCAAUGAAAUAUUAAUGGGGUUUCACAGACUGACGGUCUGGAGAAAGA